rnacentral:rRNA from 1 species
UACAGAGGUGGCAAGCGUUGUUCGGAAUUACUGGGCGUAAAGGGCGCGUAGGCGGUCUUGCAAGUCCCGUGUGAAAUCCCUCGGCUCAACUGAGGAAUCGCACGGGAAACUGCUUGGCUUGAGAUCGGGAGAGGGAAGCGGAAUUCCGGGUGUAGCGGUGAAAUGCGUAGAUAUCCGGAGGAACACCGGUGGCGAAGGCGGCUUCCUGGACCGACACUGACGCUGAGGCGCGAAAGCUAGGGGAGCAAAGCGGG